UAAAUAUAUCUGUUAAGACCUUAAGUGAGGUAACUAGUGUUCAAAGGGUGUUGUCUAUUUAAUUGCAGUAGAUGUCUGUAGAACCUGCUGGUACACUUCAGAAAUGUGUGAUCUUUUCUUUUAGUGGGCUUGAAAUUUAUUUUGCUAGUUUUUUCUUUUGUUCAUGCGAUGACAGAUGGCUUGUUAAGCUUUUUGUAGCAAGCUAUGCUAUUACGUAUGAGUGGCUAUGUAGUGUCAGUGUCGAUGUAUUGCUUCUUAUCAAACUGUGUUGUGCUGUGCUUAUGGUGACAUAAUUUAUGCGGCUGUUAAACUAAUGAAUUGUACAAGUUUACUGAAUGUUAUGAUACAUGCGGGACAUGAUCCGAUUAAUUAUAGUAUUUGUUUCAUUUCAGGACACACAAAAUGUGUAUACUGGAUAGUUUCUGUCAUUUCUCAAUUUUUGGCGUUGGGCAGGUGUUUCAAUCUGUGUGGCGGGUGUUUCAAUCUGUGUUUGUUUCUAAAAUUCUAGCCAAUGGAAAUUUAUGUGGAUGAUGAGGCCAAACUGACUCUUCACGGUCUAGUACAGCGUUAUAUUAAACUGAGUGAGCUUGAGAAAAACCGCAAACUUAAUGACCAGAAGUUGCAAAAGAUGUAGCUGAUGUUUUGCUGAAUGAUGCAAGUGAAGAGCUAAAUGACAAUCUAAUUUCAGAUGUUUUGCUGAUGUUUUUAAUAUUAUAAGCCAUAUUAGUGUGCUUUCUAUUCCUUUUUUAAUUUUUUUGGGCAAAUUAUACUUCUUGACCAUUUUGAUUUUAAUUGAUGUAUUUAAAGUCUGAAUUGUUGCUAUUCUUAAGUAUGCAAUGCAUUGUUUCUUAUUUUUAA